UGAUGGCAGAGAGGUCACACCCGUUCCCAUACCGAACACGGAAGUUAAGCUCUCUAGCGCCGAUGGUAGUUGGGACCUUGUCCCUGUGAGAGUAGGACGUUGCCAGGCA
rnacentral:rRNA from 2 species